rnacentral:rRNA from 2 species
GAGUUUGAUCCUGGCUCAGGACGAACGCUGGCGGCGUGCCUAAUACAUGCAAGUCGAGCGGACAGAUGGGAGCUUGCUCCCUGAUGUUAGCGGCGGACGGGUGAGUAACACGUGGGUAACCUGCCUGUAAGACUGGGAUAACUCCGGGAAACCGGGGCUAAUACCGGAUGCUUGUUUGAACCGCAUGGUUCAAACAUAAAAGGUGGCUUCGGCUACCACUUACAGAUGGACCCGCGGCGCAUUAGCUAGUUGGUGAGGUAACGGCUCACCAAGGCAACGAUGCGUAGCCGACCUGAGAGGGUGAUCGGCCACACUGGGACUGAGACACGGCCCAGACUCCUACGGGAGGCAGCAGUAGGGAAUCUUCCGCAAUGGACGAAAGUCUGACGGAGCAACGCCGCGUGAGUGAUGAAGGUUUUCGGAUCGUAAAGCUCUGUUGUUAGGGAAGAACAAGUACCGUUCGAAUAGGGCGGUACCUUGACGGUACCUAACCAGAAAGCCACGGCUAACUACGUGCCAGCAGCCGCGGUAAUACGUAGGUGGCAAGCGUUGUCCGGAAUUAUUGGGCGUAAAGGGCUCGCAGGCGGUUUCUUAAGUCUGAUGUGAAAGCCCCCGGCUCAACCGGGGAGGGUCAUUGGAAACUGGGGAACUUGAGUGCAGAAGAGGAGAGUGGAAUUCCACGUGUAGCGGUGAAAUGCGUAGAGAUGUGGAGGAACACCAGUGGCGAAGGCGACUNNNNGGUCUGUAAC